rnacentral:tRNA from 1 species
GGAUUUUUAGGUUAUUAGACUGUUAAUUUUCAAGGUUAAAGGUAUCAAUUUAGAUAAGAUUCU